UGGGGAAUCUUGCGCAAUGGUCGAAAGACUGACGCAGCGACGCCGCGUGCGGGAGGAAGCCCUUCGGGGUGUAAACCGCUGUUACUCGGGACGAACUUCUCGAUUCAUCGAGAUUGACGGUACCGGGGGAGGAAGCACCGGCUAACUCUGUGCCAGCAGCCGCGGUAAUACAGAGGGUGCGAGCGUUGUCCGGAAUCACUGGGCGUAAAGGGCGCGUAGGCGGCUUUUCAAGCGUGCGGUGAAAGCUCGGGGCUUAACUCCGAGUCUGCCGUGCGAACUGGGAGGCUUGAGUCUGGUAGAGGUCGAUGGAAUUCCGGGUGUAGCGGUGGAAUGCGUAGAGAUCCGGAAGAACACCGGUGGCGAAGGCGGUCGACUGGGCCAGUACUGACGCUGAGGCGCGACAGCGUGGGGAGCAAACAGG
rnacentral:rRNA from 1 species